rnacentral:rRNA from 1 species
UACGUAGGGGGCAAGCGUUGUCCGGAAUCAUUGGGCGUAAAGAGCGUGUAGGCGGCUUGGUAAGUCCGCUGUGAAAGUCCAGGGCUCAACCCUGGAAAGCCGGUGGAAACUGUCAAGCUUGAGUCCGGAAGAGGCGAGUGGAAUUCCUGGUGUAGCGGUGAAAUGCGCAGAUAUCGGGAAGAACACCCGUGGCGAAGGCGGCACUCUGGGACGGUACUGACGCUGAGACGCGAAAGCGUGGGGAGCGAACAGG